UACGUAGGGAGCAAGCGUUGUCCGGAAUCAUUGGGCGUAAAGCGCGUGUAGGCGGCCCGAUAAGUCCGCUGUGAAAGUCCAGGGCUCAACCCUGGGAUGCCGGUGGAUACUGUCGGGCUCGAGUCCGGAAGAGGCGAGGUGGAAUUCCUGGUGUAGCGGUGAAAUGCGCAGAUAUCAGGAGGAACACCAAUGGCGAAGGCAGCUCGCUGGGACGUGACUGACGCUGAGACGCGAAAGCGUGGGGAGCAAACAGG
rnacentral:rRNA from 1 species